rnacentral:rRNA from 1 species
CCUACGGGAGGCAGCAGUGAGGAAUAUUGGUCAAUGGACGAGAGUCUGAACCAGCCAAGUAGCGUGAAGGAUGACUGCCCUAUGGGUUGUAAACUUCUUUUAUAAAGGAAUAAAACGAGGCACGUGUGCCUUGUUGCAUGUACUUUAUGAAUAAGGAUCGGCUAACUCCGUGCCAGCAGCCGCGGUAAGACGGAGGAUCCGAGCGUUAUCCGGAUUUAUUGGGUUUAAGGGGAGCGUAGAUGGGUUGUUAAGUCAGUUGUGAAAGUUUGCGGCUCAACCGUAAAAUUGCAAUUGAUACUGGCAGUCUUGAGUACAGUUGAGGUAGGCGGAAUUCGUGGUGUAGCGGUGAAAUGCUUAGAUAUCACGAAGAACCCCGAUUGCGAAGGCAGCUUACUAAACUGUGACUGACAUUGAUGCUCGAAAGUGUGGGUAUCAAACAGGAUUAGAUACCCCAGUAGUC